GAGUCGUCUCCUCCUCCCGGCUCGUGCCGGCCGAUUAGAGGUAGUGGAAGAAAGACUGGAGGACCGCGAUGUUGCAACCGCGAGCCGCCUUGAGGCCGAGGUUCCAGGACCUGACGUGAACCUGAGGGCACACCUUCUCGGUGUUGAGGUCGGGCGCGGACACGAUGGCGGCGCCAAUGAGGUCGAACGCGGCGAGGCAGAGCUUCUCGGUGUCCGUCAUGGACGCACCGAGGGCGUUGAUCUCGCCGAUGACGGUGGGGAGGCCCUCGGUCAGGUUGGCGUAGAUCAUGAUCAUCUCGUCGGUGUCGAGCUGGGGGAUGAAAGACUCGGAGAGCUGCUUGGUGUACUCACUCGGGGGCUUCCUCUCGAAACCAGACCCGAGCAGCGCGCGCCUCCUCUCCUCCUUGGGGUGCUCGAUGACGUACACCUCAUCCUUCGCGGCGUCAACCUUGGAGGGG
rnacentral:lncRNA from 1 species